rnacentral:rRNA from 1 species
CUUGAACGCUGGCGGCAGGCUUAACACAUGCAAGUCGAGCGGGGAAAGGUAGCUUGCUACCUGACCUAGCGGCGGACGGGUGAGUAAUGCUUAGGAAUCUGCCUAUUAGUGGGGGACAACAUUCCGAACGGAAUGCUACUACCGCAUACGCCAUACGGGGGAAAGCAGGGGAUCUUCGGACUUUGCGUUAAUAGAUGAACCUACAUCAGAUUAGCUAGUUGGCGGGGUAAAGGCCUACCAAGGCGACGAUCGGUAGCGGGUCUGAGAGGAUGAUCCGCCACACUGGGACUGAGACACGGCCCAGACUCCUACGGGAGGCAGCAGUGGGGAAUAUUGGACAAUGGGCGAAAGCCUGAUCCAGCCAUGCCGCGUGUGUGAAGAAGGCCUUUUGGUUGUAAAGCACUUUAAGCGAGGAGGAGGCUACUUGGAUUAAUACUCUAGGAUAGUGGACGUUACUCGCAGAAUAAGCACCGGCUAACUCUGUGCCAGCAGCCGCCGUAAUAC